rnacentral:sRNA from 1 species
UGUUAAGCUUCGAUUAAGCUUUACAUGGCAUUACUGUGUGCAUCCAGUGAUCUGGAUUCUUACCGAGUGGCUGGGCCACUCCGUUUGACGCCUCCCUGUUAACUCCUGAGAGCCGCCUUUGCGGCUCUUUUUUU